rnacentral:rRNA from 1 species
YGAACGCUGGCGGCAGGCUUAACACAUGCAAGUCGAACGAAAANCUUACUUCNGUAANUGGAAAGUGGCANACGGGUGANUAACGCGUGGCAACCUACCUUUUUCUACGGAACANCAGUUGGAAACGACUGCUAAUACCGUAUACGCCCUCCGGGGGAAAGAUUUAUCGGUGAAAGAUGGGGCCGCGUUAGAUUAGCUAGUUGGUGAGGUAAUGGCUCACCAAGGCGACGAUCUAUAGCUGGUCUGANAGGAUGAUCAGCCACACUGGGACUGANACACGGCCCAGACAACUACGGUUGGCAGCAGUGGGGAAUAUUGGACAAUGGGGGCAACCCUGAUCCANCCAUGCCGCGUGAAUGANGAAGGCCUUANGGUUGUAAAAUUCUUUCGCUAGGGAUGAUAAUGACAGUACCUAGUAAAGAAGCCCCGGCUAACUCCNUGCCAGCAGCCGCGGUAAUACGGAGGGGGCUAGCGUUGUUCNNAAUUACUGGGCGUAAAGCGUGCGUANGCGGAUUAUUAAGUUAGGGGUGAAAUCCCGGGGCUCAACCUCGGAACUGCCUCUAAAACUGGUAAUCUAGAGAUAUGGAGAGGUAAGUGGAAUUNCUAGUGUAGAGGUGAAAUUC